rnacentral:rRNA from 1 species
GUGCCAGCAGCCGCGGUAAUACAGAGGUCCCAAGCGUUGUUCGGAUUCACUGGGCGUAAAGGGUGCGUAGGCGGCCGGGUAAGUCUGCUGUGAAAUCCCGCAGCUCAACUGCGGAACUGCAUUGGAUACUAUCCGGCUAGAGGAAUGGAGGGGAGACUGGAAUUCUCGGUGUAGCAGUGAAAUGCGUAGAUAUCGAGAGGAACACCAGUGGCGAAGGCGAGUCUCUGGACAUUUCCUGACGCUGAGGCACGAAAGCCAGGGGAGCAAACGGGAUUAGAAACCCCCGUAGUCC